UCCAGGGUAGCCUAGUGGACAUGGCAUCCGUCCGGUAAGCAGAACACUGUGGUUUCGAUUCCCAUCCCUGGAC
rnacentral:tRNA from 1 species